ACGGGUGCGUAACGCGUAUGCAACCUACCUUUAACAGGGGGAUAACACUGAGAAAUUGGUACUAAUACCCCAUAAUAUGGGCGCUCCGCAUGGAGAGUCCAUUAAAGAGAGCAAUCUUGGUUACAGACGAGCAUGCGCUCCAUUAGCCAGUUGGCGGGGUAACGGCCCACCAAGGCGACGAUGGAUAGGGGUUCUGAGAGGAAGGUCCCCCACAUUGGAACUGAGACACGGUCCAA
rnacentral:rRNA from 1 species